UCUCCGUUGGUGAACCAGCGGAGGGAUCAUUACAGAGUUGCAAAACUCCCAAACCAUUGUGAACAUUACCUAUCCCGUUGCUUCGGCGGGCGGCCCGGGCCCCGCGCCCGGCGCCCCCCGGCCCCCCGUGGGCGCCCGCCGGAGGUAUACCAAACCCUUGAAUUGCAUGGCCUCUCUGAGUCUCCUGUACUGAAUAAGUCAAAACUUUCAACAACGGAUCUCUUGGUUCUG
rnacentral:misc_RNA from 1 species